UGUUGAUAAACAUUGUGUCCACUGUUGAUAAAUUUACACAACUUUAAUUUUCAUUUAAACUUUAUACACAGUAUAGUACAAGAUUAUAGUUUUAAAUCACAGGAUGAAGCAAGCUGAGAACUGAAAAAGCUGUCUCUGGAAGGGAAAAUGAAAUUCAAAGGUAUUUUUAGAACUGCGAGGCGUGCUUCACUUUAGGUGAUAACCACAAGGCAGGCUCACUGUUGCAGCAGUUGUGUCAUCUCUGACCAUUUACUUAAACAAAAAAAACAAAAAAAAAUUACCUCAGUCUUUUCUGCUGUAGUCUUUACCCCAGUCUACCUCAGGUAAGGAAGGUAAGGAACCUUUUACACCAUCAUCAUCAUCAUCAGCUGCAGUGAUGUUCUCUUGUUCCUAUUCUCUCCUGCUGGUUCUACUGAUCCUUCAGUGUUACACAACGUGCAACAAUGAAGUAAUGACCCGCUUCUGUUUGAGUACAGAUACACAUUCCCAAACAGAGAAAGCUACAACUGAACCUCAACAGGAACGAGACCACACAUCGACAUCGCAGGGAAGUUCACGUAAGUGACAAACUGUUCUUUGGGCUUUUUAAUCUUAAAUCUAUGGGA